AGGACCUAGAAAAGGAAUUUAAUUCAUUUAAAAAUAGUAGUAUCCCACCGAGCAAUCUAAUCCCCUAAAAAAACAUGUUGAAAUCUACUCUAACUUCAAAUCAAGUGGAUUUGAUAAUAGGGUAGAAAAAACGUGUUAGAUGGAUAAAAGAGGAAGUCAGCCGUGCUCUGCCAUUGAGAUAUUUUGGAGAAAAAAAUUCAUACGAAUACAUAAAAGAUGAUUUAAAAUUUUAUUUACCAUCACCCUCCACUUUGCAAAAAUAUGCUAGAACUUUUAAAUUGCGUGAAGGUGUCCUAGAAAACGUUUUAGUUUGUCAUGUGGAAUUUUGAUAGUUCUUUGAGCCGUAGCGAUGCCGAGUGUAUUUUUUGUUUUGAUGAGUUGAAGAUCAAAAACGUAAUGGAAUAUGAUCUGUCGACAGUUGAGGUUAUUGGCCCAUAUAUACAGGUAGUAAUGGCCAGAGGCUUGUUCAAGAAUUGGAAGAAACCAAUCUAUGGGGGUCUAUGGGGCUAACUAUCCUUCACGAUUCUAGUUAGUUUUUUGUAUGGAGUUUGACGGUUGGAGGCUGAAAUCAUGUAAACAAUCCAUACAAAACCACACAAAAAACUAGCCUACGAUUUUCAGUCUAGAAAAUUUUAGUCUAAAAGCUAGAAUUAGAUUCGAGUACCUGCUCGAAAACACGAGUUUGUUUACAUUUAUCCCACGCAACAAUCGAGCAGGAAAAUGUAUGGAGAUCUGUCAAAUUCUGUGUUGUUUGCAUGGACGCAGUACCAACGUCAUUGGUUUGGAAGCUCCCUUCACCUGGUUUCGCUUUGUCUGCCCGGUUCCCCUGAGCAGCGGCGGAUCUAACGGUAGGCGGACUAGGCGGCCGCCUGGGGCCCCGCCGAUUUAGGGGCCCCGUAGAUCGCCAUUCUAUAGUAUGCCGUAUGGACAGAGUACUAACGACAAGGGCCCCCGGAAGGAUGGCCGAUGGGGCCCCGAGGCUGGCGAAUCAUUUGCACUCCCCCCCCCCCCCGUCAGCAAAAAUUUAAGAGUUAAAUCACCCAACAGCAAGUUUAGUGCCGCCCCCCCCCCCCCCCCCCCCCCCCCCAACAACAUUUACCAUUUACAGAGGGCCUCAACUCGUCGUUCCCCCGAUACGUAGGGCUUAGGGCCCCCGAUACCCUUGAUCCGCCACUGCCCCUGAGCGUGUUGCUUCCAUACGAGUUUCAACUUGUCGCCGGUAGCUUCUUACUCCUCUUACGAGUUGUUUUUUCUUCAACGGUAGUGAGUGGUUGUGCAUCAGCCAUUUUCAGUGUUUUGUUUGCUGCAAUCAAUACUGUAGUGAAUAUUUACUUGGCGUUUAUUUUUGUUUUGGUCGUUCAAAUCAAACACAAACUUCGAAGGCGAUAUGUACUCAAAGAAAUUGAGAAAAUCGGGGCAAUUCGCUAAAAUUCGCCGAGCCAACCAAACCAAUUUUGAACGUGAAAUGCAACCAUUGAUGGAUCCCUCACCUGGCCCUUCAGUUGUUCCUACUUCGAUUGAAGAAGACUUUGGCAUGCCAGAAGGCAUUGAUAGUUAUACUCAACUUUUGGAAGAUGAUGAAGACGUGGAAUCUAUUCCGUCAACUAAUACUGAUGCGGAGAGUGAUACCGAAGAAGAAAGCGAAAAUGACUUCCAAAAACCAUUUGAAACACUUCUUAGACUAUGGGCUCUUUCAUGCAAAGUUCCGCUAACAACUUUAACCAAACUGCUGAAAUUGCUUAGUCAUAAAACGGAUUUCAACCUGCCUAAAGACGCCAGAACGUUUUUAAAAACUCCUAUUCUUAUUGGCAAUCAAAUAGAAAAUGUGGCUGGUGGACAAUUAUGGUAUCGUGGAGUCGAGAAAACCCUAAAACAAUAUUUUUGCCAAGUUACACCAGCAACGAGCCUAAUUAAUAUCAAUCUUUCCAUGGACGGAUUGCCGUUACAUAACAGCGGGCCAACACAAUUGUGGCCGAUUUUAAUGACGUUGCCGGAUUUUGAUCCAAUGCCAGUGUUGGUGGUAGUCAUUUUUUGUGGAGCAUCAAAGCCAGAAAAUGCUGAGGGCUAUCUCCCAAAUAGCCAGAAUUGCUUAAGCAGCUCAUUUUGGCACGCUAAAGAUCGCUGCUCUAAUUCGCCUUUUGCAGUAGAUAAACAGCAUCAAAGUUCCAGGUGGUCCUUCUAAAUAGCGCCUAAGCAGCUUCCUUAAGCUACGGUGCUGGGGAUUAUUUUUCUUUGUGUUUUAUUUGCAAGCAAGCGUCAUCGAUGAAAUAAACAACAGGAUUUGUUUUGUUUGUGUA